GCCUCGGUAGUGUAGUGGAUCAGCACGGCAGACCGGAUAUCUGUAAAUGCGGGUACGAGCCUCGCCUGAGGUU
rfam:Dictyocaulus viviparus strain HannoverDv2000 D_viviparus-1.0_Cont1133.1, whole genome shotgun sequence.